UACAGAGGGUGCGAGCGUUGUCCGGAAUCACUGGGCGUAAAGGGUGAGUAGGUGGCUUGUUAAGCGUGUGGUGAAAGCCUGGGGCUCAACCCCAGGUCUGCCGUGCGAACUGGCAAGCUUGAGCAGAGUAGAGGCGAGUGGAAUUUCGGGUGUAGCGGUGGAAUGCGUAGAUAUCCGAAAGAACACCGGUGGCGAAGGCGACUCGCUGGGCUCUUGCUGACACUGAAUCACGACAGCGUGGGGAGCAAAC
rnacentral:rRNA from 1 species